rnacentral:lncRNA from 1 species
UGACAUUUUCAUUUUACGGGGGUGACUUUAGUAUCUCAUACAUUCUGCUUCUCCUCUACAAUAUGAUUUUAAUAAUUUAUUUAUUUUUUCUGAUUGUUUGUUAACUAUUUUCUUUUUGUAGGUUUUCAUGGCUGAUAAUGGGAUGCUUUCUCCUUCAAGGAAUCCUGCCAAGAGAAGUAGAGACAAGAAUAGAUCAUAUGUAGUAGAAGUUGAUUAUGAUCUUGCAUAAUUAUCAGGAAAUAAGGUUAAAAGAGUGAUUAAACG